GGAAAACCCUAAUCUUCUGAAGACAAACUCAACAGCGUCUGUGUCCGUAUAUAUAUGGAAUAUGGUGAUGAUACGAAUAUUUCGUGGACUAGAGUUUCAGAUCUGGGCUCUUCACCCAGUAGUUGAAGAUACAACCCUUGGCUGUCUGAGUAUCCCUUUUUACUCACACCACAACAAGAUAUUUAACUUUUUCUAAUCUUAUUCUUUUUUGAAACAUAUUUUUUUUGAAACACUAAUUUUUCAAAUCUUCUUAUUAUUAUUAUUAUUUUUAAUAUAGCUGAUGAGGAUAAAACAAUUAUCUUAGCGGAUUUCAGUGAGGUUUUAUAAUCAAUGAUCUGAAUUGUUACACACACUGAGGCUUCUUAAAAAUAUUACUUCUUGUUGAAUUGAAAAAGUAAAUGAAUUUGUUUGUUUUUCAAAUAAUUUUUUUUUUAUAAUUUUGGGGAUUUAUGAUGCAAUGAUGAUAAAAUAGCACGAAGGUGCGUGAAGGGCAGUGGACAAAACAUAAUAUGUUUUGCCGUGAGCUCUCUUAAUUAAACGACUUCUCCUUCCACUGAGCAUAAUAAUAUAUAUAUUCUCUUAAACUGCAAUUUAUGUUGAUAAUUUGAUAUUUAAAACCGUAAUGAAAGGCGUCUUUUACCAAUUCUGAGGGAUAGAAACAGUUCCUUUAGGUAUAAUGGCACUGACGCAAUAUUGAUUAGGUUGUGGUAUAUCCUGAUCAUCUGACUUUUUUCUAUGUUAGUUGAUCCUGGAAAUGCCUCACACAUUGAUUCAUAAACUUUCAGUUCUGUGUUUUAGUCACACGUUUGUUUUAAAGGGGAUGGAAUUUUUAUAGUUGCAGAUAUUCAAACCCGUCUUAGUAAAAAAAAAAAAAAUUCAAACCCAUCGUACCUAAUAACGAGCAGCUGUAAACAAUCUUAAAACGACAACUACGUAAAUAAAAAGGCACCUUUUUGGUGAUGAUACGAUUGAGACGAUUUUAUAAUGAAACCAAUUCUUAUAAAACGACCAUGACACAAAGAUACAUACCAAAGGAAGAUACUAAUUCCUCAACCAUAUUGGUGCAAAAUUGCUUUAUCCAAAAGUCAAAAGAAGCUAGCGUGAGAGCCAAGUAAAAAAAAAAGCCUGAAGUAAAAAUUGCCAAGGUUGUUGGCUCUACAAAUGAAGGAGGAUGUCUACCAAUUCACAUUACAAGAUCCCGUUUUGAUAUAACAAGAAAACACGAUAAUGUUUUUGAUACAGAAAUUACAAACUCCUAUACUUCCACCGAAGAACACUCGCAGUAUUUUCUAACUCCAUUAAAUAUCAAACUUUUCUUAAUUUCCAGACAACACAACAAAA